rnacentral:lncRNA from 1 species
GUUGAGAGGCCUCAGUGCAGAAAUAGAAUGUACACAAAAGUCGCAUCAUACCCUGCCCACUGAUAGACGUCGGGGUCCAUGUUGAGUCCUGAGUAGGAGGCAGUUACAGGUAUCAAAGUAGGAGUGUGACUCAACUAGAAGAGGAGUGAAUGUCAACAAAAGCACCCCCACAUCCCUGUCUUGCCGACAGUGAAAAUCAAAGUCUCACCUUGACUCAUGAAGCCCAAUGACUGCCCCACUCCCGCCUCAUCUCCUCCUACUCUCUUUCGUCCAGCCAUACUUGCCAGGAUUCUGUUGCAAAAGACUUCUGCCCUGAUUUCCACUCCGAGGCCCCUCAGCUGGCUUCCCUUCCCUGCUGAUACAUCUUCGUCUUUAAUACUAGAAGAGGACAGAGACUCUCCUACUGUGGCACACAAGCUCCUGUGUUAUUUGCUCCUCUCCCAUCCUUCCAGCCUUGCCUCCAUCUCAGCUGCCCCUCUCUCCUCCCCAUGUUGCAGCUGUGGGAACUUCUCACUUUCCAGUCCAGAGACCACGUAUAGGCAGAAGGUCCCGGCCAUGGGCAG